GGCUUGCAGAGCCAUGGCAAAGAGAGUAAAGUGCCCUGAGAUUUUAGGGUUUAAGUGCAUGUAGUACAACAUGGGAAAACAAGAAUAGGAAAUACAUCCCACACUAUAGCCCCCACCAAAGGACCUGAGCAGUAAGGAAAACAGCAGAGUACCUUAAAAGAAAUCAUGCAGCAGAUGAAAAUAAAGUUUUGAGUUACCUGAAAUUUGACUUCCAGAGCUCUUCUAUGAUCACAGAUCUAUGAGGCAAAGAAUCUCACACCAAUGUUUCAGCUGCAACUGGCCAUCUUGAACUUGUAAAAAGGUUUAAUGAAAGCUCAAGCUCUCCUCCCCUGAAGACUUUCAGAUUCUGCUUCUGAGAUUCAUAGAUUUGAUAUGCAAGCCAUCAUUGGGUUAGAAUUUCUCUCCCUUAUUUGUUCACCAGCCCACGUGUUCUGGAAUACACACCGCUAUCUUCUCUUGAUGAAGUCAUGCACACCCCUGCUCAGUCUGAUCAAGAACUAGGAGGUAUCAGGAAAGAAAGCCAUGGGCAGUUUGGAAGAUAUUUCCCAGAAGAGAUAUACCACAUGCACUUGCUAUGUCUAACAUCCAGUCCACAGGAGAGCAGGUGGCACACUGAGAGAAGAGUUGACAGAAAAUUUGAGUGGGGAGGAAAAGUAAA